rnacentral:lncRNA from 1 species
AGUGCUUCAUGGAGUACAAUUGCAAACAAUGAGACAAAGGGCGCCAAAUUUUUGCAUUGCAAAUGUAGUUAUUGUUGUGUACCAUUGCUUUAGUUAAUGGUAGUUAUGUUUAGCAAGGUUUUAAAUUGUGACUGUUGUUACGGUGAAUCACAAUCUUUGAUGUUGUGGCAAAUUGCAGAUACUAUGGCUGAUGCGGCCACAAUUACAGAAGUAGAUUUUCCGAAAACCUUUGCAUUGCAAUUGUAAAUGUGAUUGUGGACCUAUAAUUUAAAACCUUGUAUUGUUUAGGUUACCAAGUGAUGAAACUCAAACUUGUAUCAAAGCUGUUUAUAUUCUNNNNNNNNNNNNNNNNNNNNNNNGAGUACUUGAUAUAUAAUAAGAAUAUAAGGAAUUUGAUGUAUAUGUUUUGUCCUUAGGAAGUGUGUUCUCUCAAAUGUUGUUUUCGCAUUGUGGUUGAUCUGUUGCAAUAUC